UACUAGAUGGCCACCGUAAGAAGCACU
rnacentral:sRNA from 1 species